rnacentral:rRNA from 1 species
AUUGAACGCUGGCGGCAUGCCUUACACAUGCAAGUCGAACGGCAGCACGGGAGCAAUCCUGGUGGCGAGUGGCGAACGGGUGAGUAAUAUAUCGGAACGUGCCCAGUCGUGGGGGAUAACGCAGCGAAAGCUGUGCUAAUACCGCAUACGAUCUACGGAUGAAAGCGGGGGAUCGCAAGACCUCGCGCGAUUGGAGCGGCCGAUAUCAGAUUAGCUAGUUGGUGGGGUAAAGGCCCACCAAGGCGACGAUCAGUAGCUGGUCUGAGAGGACGACCAGCCACACUGGAACUGAGACACGGUCCAGACUCCUACGGGAGGCAGCAGUGGGGAAUUUUGGACAAUGGGCGAAAGCCUGAUCCAGCAAUGCCGCGUGCAGGAUGAAGGCCUUCGGGUUGUAAACUGCUUUUGUACGGAACGAAACGGUGAGCUCUAAUACAGUUUGCUAAUGACGGUACCGUAAGAAUAAGCACCGGCUAACUACGUG